CCUACGAGGGGCUGCAGUGGGGAAUAUUGGACAAUGGGGGCAACCCUGAUCCAGCCAUGCCGCGUGUGUGAAGAAGGCCCUCGGGUUGUAAAGCACUUUCAGUGAGGAAGAACGCCUGGUGGUUAAUACCCAUCAGGAAAGACAUCACUCACAGAAGAAGCACCGGCUAACUCCGUGCCAGCAGCCGCGGUAAUACGGAGGGUGCGAGCGUUAAUCGGAAUUACUGGGCGUAAAGCGCGCGUAGGUGGCUUGAUAAGCCGGUUGUGAAAGCCCCGGGCUCAACCUGGGAACGGCAUCCGGAACUGUCAAGCUAGAGUGCAGGAGAGGAAGGUAGAAUUCCCGGUGUAGCGGUGAAAUGCGUAGAGAUCGGGAGGAAUACCAGUGGCGAAGGCGGCCUUCUGGACUGACACUGACACUGAGGUGCGAAAGCGUGGGUAGCAAACAGGAUUAGAUACCCUAGUAGUC
rnacentral:rRNA from 1 species